rnacentral:rRNA from 2 species
CUGGUGUCAGCCGCCGCGGUAAUACCAGCACCCCGAGUGGUCGGGACGAUUAUUGGGCCUAAAGCAUCCGUAGCCGGCCUUACAAGUCCUCCGUUAAAUCCAGCUGCUUAACAGAUGGGCUGCGGAGGAUACUAUAAGACUAGGAGGCAGGAGAGGCAAGCGGUACUCAGUGGGUAGGGGUAAAAUCCGUUAAUCCAUUGAAGACCACCAGUGGCGAAGGCGGCUUGCCAGAAUGCGCUCGACGGUGAGGGAUGAAAGCUGGGGGAGCAAACCGGAUUAGAUACCCGGGUAGUCCCAGCUGUAAACGAUGCAGACUCGGUGAUGGACUAGCUUUAUGCUGGUCCAGUGCCGCAGGGAAGCCGUUAAGUCUGCCGCCUGGGUAGUACGGUCGCAAGACUGAAACUUAAAG